rnacentral:lncRNA from 1 species
CACGAAGCACGUGGGGUACUGUUUCGUUUAUUGAGCAUCUACUGUUUGCCUGGCACUACUGAGUAUCACACCAAAAAGAUUUAUGCAGGGUCUUGGCCCUGAGAGCUUAGGAAAUCCAAAGCAAAUCCAAAACUCAAUCCUGACUUACUUCUCAGCACCAUAUAAAAAAGCUCCUGGUUGAAAAAGUCCUCCAAGGGGAACGCGGUUCAGAAUAGAAUGAAAUGUACCCAAUAACGCAAUUUAGUUCAAGUGACCAGAUCAAGAGAAAAGGCCACUCAUCGUGCCAAAUAGAAACAUCCCUGUGGUCUUCAAUAGCCUAUGCUUUUGAAGGUCCCACUUCAGGUAGGGCAGAGAGGCAAGCAGAUCUAGAACCCCUGAGGUGUGACUCUGAUUUCUAACAAAGGGCUCCCCCUGGUUACUAGAUGCAGCCAGAAUCCAGGGCUCAGGAAAGCAUUGAAGUUAGACUGGGGGGAAACCGAACCUCAGUUUUGGGUAACUUGUCCAAAGUCACUGCAGGGGUGAUAAGGGCCUGUCAACCAACCUGGCGCUCUGGAGGACCUCCGAGGCUUUGUGAGACACAUGCUGCAGGCUGAGGUAAAGACUCCACUGAAUUCACAACCUGUGGGAGACAUUGGAGAAACUGGGGGGACUGUUGGAAAUGCACCUCAUUUUAGUGACGACGCCUCCUCACCAUUGCGGCUACAUUUGAACACAGCUAGGUUGGAUGUGAGUGGGUCUCCAUGGAAACAGCUUCCACUGACUUUCUGUAGAGAAUUGGCUUUUAGUCCCAGAAUUAAUUCUAAAUACAGUUUCUGG